GUUUUUAAAGUAUAGCCUUAUGUUUUCUGGACUUCCUUGGUUUCUGUUGUUAUGUACCCUUUUUUGUUUCUGCUUUUGUCGAUUUGCAUUUUCUCACUCUACCUUUGAGUUAAUUUGGAUCAGGAUUUGUUGAUCUUAUUGAUUUUCUCAAAGAACCAAUUCUUUGCUUCAUUAAUUAUUUGUAAAAUUUUCUUUGUUUCUAUUUUAUUGGUUUUGGCACUCAGUUUUUUGCCAUCUACUGAUUUGGGGUGUUGUUUCUUCUUUUUCUUAAGCUUCCAGGUAUGCUACUAAGUUCUUUCUAUAAGAUAUUUUCUAUUUUUUAAAUGUUGACCCUUAGCACUAUGCACUUGCCUCUUAAAACAGCUUUUAUUGUUUCCCAUAAGUUCAAGUUCAAUGUGUAUUAGUUUUCAGUCAAUUUUAGAAAAUCUUAAUUUCUUUCUUAAUUUCUGUCUCUACCUAUUUUUGGUUCAGUGGAGAGUUCUUCAGUUUUUAUAAGUUUUUAAAAUUUAUGUGUUUAUUUCUUGUUGUCAAUAUCUGUUUUUAAUCCAUGGUGAUCUCGUAGGAAUUAUUUCAAUUUUUUUGUAUCUCUUGAGACUUGCUUCAUGUUUGAGUAUAUAGUGAAUUUUGGAGAAAGUUUUAUGAAGUGCAGAAAGGAAUGCAUAUUCAUUUUUGUUUGGUGAAAUGUUUUAUUAAUAUCUGUUAGUUCUAUUUGGUUUAUAAUGUUUGUUAGUUCCAGCAUUUCUCUAUUUAGUUUUGUCUGGAUGACCUAUCUGUUGGUGAGAGUGUCUAUAGAAGUCCCCACUCUCAGGAGGAUCAAUAUUUGUGAGGGUCAAUAUGUGAUUUAAGCGGUAGUGGUGUUUGUUUUACAAACUUGGGUUCCCUUGUGUUGGGGCAAAGUUGCUAAGAAUUGAAAUGUCAUAUUGGUAAUGUUUUUCUUUGCUGAGUACAUUGGAAUAAUCAAGGCCUGAUAGCGUAGGAAUUGUUGGAUCUAGUGGAAUCAUACUGUCCUGGAUGUUAGAAGAAUGUAGUGGUUGUGUGUUUCCUGACAGAAAAUUUUCUGUGGACAUGGUGGUUGUGGCCAUUGAGGUUCCAAAUAAAAUGUGUUUCUAGAAAUUGGUAGCUGACACUUAGAAAAGGCUAGGCUUCUGAAGUGGUUCACAGAAACAAGGAAAUCAGAGUGUUCCAAUCAGAUCUAUUUACUUCAGUUGGGAGUAGAGAGUGAAGAAAGCUCACCAAAGAAAAUCAGAGAUAGACUUGAGAAUGAGACUGGGAAUUGGAUCUGGAAGAAGAGAAGGAGAUGGGAAAAAUCUACAGUCAGCCUACUUGCUUCUCUGGCAGAAGUAGCCUGUCGAUUAGCAGUAGGUGUCUGUCAGAAUUGUGAACUAGGAUAAAGAAAUGAGUGAGGGCGGGGAGAGGUUAAGAAAGAAAGAUCUGUGGGAUCCACAGUAGAUGUGGGGAGCUUAAAGGUGGGGAAGAAGGCUGUAGCAUGUGUUCUGUUUUGAAGCUAGGGAAGGGAUUACAUGAUUGGGUUUGGAGGAGAGAAAGAAGUGGUGAAGGUCUUCAGUUAAAUUACUUAUUUUCGCUGGCGUGCCCAGCUUGUGUGUUCCAAGGAAUACCUUCUAGUGUUGGAGGCUGAGAUAAUGGGAAGAGUUGGGAGAAGGAAGGUUGGAGGAGACAUUUCUGAUCCAUUGGGAAUAGAUCCACUGAGGUCAGAGAAGGAUUGCAGGGAUUGAAUAUGGAGGAACAGAAGACAGGUGAAGAUCUUCAGUCAGCCUACCUGCUCCCCUUGCAAGAGUGGUCUUUGAGUUAACAGGGAGUGCCAUCUGGCAUCCAGUGCUGGGAUAAAGUAGUGAGUCAAGUUGGGGAACAAAGACUAGGAAAAGACCUGUGAGAUUCACAGGAGAUGGGGUGUUGGGCAGCAGUAGGAUGCUGAAGCAUAUGUGUAGUUGUAAAGCUGGUGCUGAAACAUGGAGAUUGGGUCUGGAGGAAUAGAGGAGAGGUGAAAAUCUGAAGUCAGCCCUCCUGCUUCCCUGGCAGCGGUGACCUGUAGGUUCACUUGUUGGAUUUGGGGGCUGGGAUAAAGUAACAAGAUGAGGGAAGAGAUUAGGAGGGGAGAUCUUUGGGAUCUACUAGAGACAGGGUGAAGAAAGUCUGCCACAGGUUUUCUGCUGAAGAGCUGUGAAUAUAUUGGGGGAUUGGAUCUGGGGAACAGAGGGAGAAGUGGGGAUCUGUAGUCAGACUACCUGGUUCUCUAGCAGAAGUGGCCUGUGUGUUAAUAGUGGGUGCCUUCUGGAUUUGCAGAAUGGAUAAAUUGGGAGAGGGAAGUUAGGAGGGGAAAGACUGUGGGAUUAACAUGAGAUGUGGGCAGAGAGAGAAAGAAAGGCUAUAUACAGCAGGUGUUCUGUUUCAGAGCUAAAGAUGAAACUGGGGGAUUGGAUUUGGAAAAGUGAAUAGUGAAGAUCUUCAGUUAGUUUAACUGUUUCCCUGGCCUGCUCAGCUGGCUUGUUCCUCAGAAUGCUUAAUGUUAUUGAAGACUGGGAUACUGGGAUGAGUUCUGGAAAGAAAAGUUCAAGGAAAAGAUCUUUCUGACCCAUGUGAAUGGGUCAGACAGGGAAGAAAACCUUAACAGGUACUCUGCUCCAGAUCUACGGAUGAGACUAAGAAAUUGCAUCUAGAGAAAAAGGAGAGAUUAGGAUCUGCAGUCAGAUCUGCUUCCCUGACAGGUAUGUCUUCCUCAUUGCUUUAAUUUUUUCUUUUAUUUCUUGAGAUUAUGAUGUAAUUUAUCAUAUUCCAUUCCCUCUCUACCCUCAAACAUUCCCUUGAUCUUCUACAAAUCCGUAGCCUCUUUUUCAUUAUUGUUAUAUAUUAUAUAUUUUAUGUUAUAUGCUUUAUGUUUUAUGUAUUAUGUUAUAUGUUAUGUUUAUGUGUUAUGUGUUAUAUGGUGUAUGGCAUAGGAUAUAUUAUGCUAUGUUAUGUAUUAUGUUAUACAUUAUACAUAUUAUAUAUAAUAUGUAUUAAUGUUAUAUUGUAUAUACAGUAUACACAUAUAUUUCUAAAUAAACAACUAUAAUGUGCUCUUUAUGUGUUAUGUUACUUGUAAUAUAUUGUUACUUGUAAUAUAGCUUUCAGAGCUGACCAUACAAUAUUGGACAAUCAGGUGAUGUAUUCUUCCUUGUGGAAGACUCUUUCUCUCACUCUCAGCAUUUCUUAGCUCUACAUUAUUACUGUGGUAUUGAUAAAUCUUUCAACAGCAUUUAGAUUCAAAGAGGUUCAUGCUCUCAGAAGAGUUAAGAGUUUUCAAAUAUUUUGAAUGCUUUGAGAAAUAUGAAAAUUCUGGUAAAGUGAGGAGUAGGUGGCAGAAUAUUAUUUUCUUCUUUAGCUUCAACUAAGUUAUAGCCCUGUAUAUAAUUGGCUUAAUCCUUUCAGAAAUAUUAAUUCCAUAACAAGAACCUGAGAAAGAGUGAGUUCUAUGUAUUGUCCACUGAAAGUCGAAGUUUUCCUCCCUCGUUUCCUGACCCUCCCUUCACUUGUAUGCUGAGAUCAUAUUGUGGCCGGCAAAGCAGAAUGCAGUAAAACAGGAAAUUACACAGUAAAUGAAGAAAAGUCACAUUUCCAAACAUUCCUCUUAGAAAAGUUCUGUCCUGUGAUUUGUCAAUUAUUUGCUUGAUUAUAUAUAUAUUGCUGCACAAAAGGUUUAAACUCUGGUGACUUCUUAGCUUUUUUCUUUUUGUUUCCCAUAACUUCCAGAUAUCACAGUCUAAUCUAGCAUCAAAGCCCUUAGUUUUACUGCCUUAUCAUCUAAAUUGAAAUCUUGAAUCAAUUUUACGAUGAUUAUCACAUAUUAUGUGAGAUAAAGGACUGAAUUCUUUGUUUUGCCUUUUAGAUUUCUGUUUUACUCAAUUCCAUCAGUUAAAAUCUGUCUAAGUCUCAAUGUAAAGUUUUGACAUCUUGCCAAAAAUCAGUGGCCGACAUGCAGUGAUAAUCAUUUCUGGGUUCUUAAACAUACUAUAUGUUUGUCUUUAUUUCAAAGAUAUUCUUCUAAAUGUGACAUAGUAUUCAAUUCUACAUAAGCAUAAACAUUUACAUAGUAAUAGGGUAUCAUCUAAUCUUUUGAUAAUAUUUAAAUCAGAAAAAAAUAAUAUUCAGUAAUAUAUGUUUAACAUACACAUAAAAUGUAUAUAGUACAUUCUGUGUCUUCAAAAAUUGAUUAGUUUUUAUAGAAUAAACAUUCAAACUAUAACAUAGAGGUUUAAAAACUAUAUUUUAAAACUAUACUCAUCCUCCUAUACAACAGCACAUUAGACUUCCUUUCCUACACCAACUAUUCCUUGGUGUGCAUUAUUAGUCCUUCACUGUCUCCCUCCCCCAUACUCUCUCAGCUUCUAUAAUGGCCAUUAUACUCUUAAUUUCUUCCAAAGCAUCAUUUUUACAAAUUUUACAAAUUUGUGAAUGGCUGCUGCCUUAUAAUGCUUACCAUUUUUGUUUUGACAUGUAGUUCUAGUAAUAUAAUUAUUCCUAGGUUCAUUUAUGUGGUAGCAAAUGGCAAACAAAGCCAUUUUAGAUGAAUAGCUUUCUUUUGGAUGCAUAUCCAAUGCUUUCUUUACUUAUUUCUCAGUUAAUGGAUGAUGGAUACCUAGAUUCUUUUGUCAGACAUCAGAAUGGUGACACCUUCUUGCUUGUUACCCAUUUUCUUAGAAUAUAUUUAGCCAUUCCUUCACUCUAAGGUGGCACUUAUCUGUGAUGGUGAAGAUUGUGUCCUGGAAUCAAUCCUGUGUUCUGAUACAAUCUCCUAUUCUGUUUUCAGUGACAAACAUGAAAAAACUGAUCAAGCAGGAUAUCUCAAGCACACAGAGAGAGUCCUUGGAAUUGAUAACCAUCUCCCCUGUGGGUGGAAAGAGCUGAGUUCUCAGAAUGAAGUUAGAGUUUGUAGAGUCCUUGGAAUUGAUAACCAUCUCCCCUGUGGGUGGAAAGAGCUGAGUUCUCAGAAUGAAGUUAGAGUUUGUAGAGUCCUUGGAAUUGAUAACCAUCUCUCCUUCAGGUGGGAAGAGUUGAGUUCCCAGAAUGAAGUGGGAGCUCCCCUAAAACCAUGGCUCCAGAUUAUUACUGGCUUUGCCAAGCCUCUUUCUUGCUUUAGACAAGGAGUUACUUUCCUUCUCCAUGCAACAGGUGCUCAUGGAGGCCCUUGGAUGAGCCUGGCUGUCGGACUGUGAAAGGCAGCCUGUUUUCUGGUCGAGCUAAGUUUAAACCCCGGAAAUCCAGCAGAUAACUCUACAAGGGAUGAAAGGCCUGUUUGCCAUGCUCCCAAACACUAGGCUCCCGACACAAGGCCCCAGCUCCAUAAUUCUGUGGCCAUCAGUCACACAGGGCAACGCCUCAAGCUCCUUGUAUUCUGUCUGGACUUCACCCCCACAGUUACCUGGCAACAACCAGAUCCACAGUGCUGGAGCAAUGGAGCAGCUAAAAAGCCUCCAGUGUAACCUCCUGAGCAAGGCCUCUCUGCAUUCUCAGAUAUGGCUUCCACUAAACCAAACCACCUCGAGAACCAUCCGCAGUCCUCCUCCUGAACAUCCAGCGGCAUCUGUGGUGUCUGAGAAUCUGAGAACCUACCAGUCUCAGCCUCUAUGCGGGCCUGGACCCCCAAGUCCACGCAGACCUCAGACUGCGCUUCCCCACCUCCAGAGCAGGAUCCUGCAGCUUCUCACAGCCAGACACGUGGCCCGAGGCAGCAUCGUGGGGUACUUGCAGUCAAACUUCCCAAGCAGCCCUAGCUCUGUGGCAGACUGGACACAGGACACCAUUCUAAUCCACACGUGGCUCCCAACAUCUUCAGUGGAAGAAUAACAUCUAAUACCCCCUGUAGGAGUGGCUUGGUGACCAUAGAUUCCUUCAGUCUAUUUUAUCAUUAAAUAUUUUUUUCCUCCCUCAAUCUAGAUGAGAGAUUUUGCAAGGUAUAUUGCUCUAGGUUUAAAGCUGUGAUCCUUCAGAACUUGAAAUACAUAUCCAAGCCCUGAUUGCCUUUAAAGUUUUUCUUAAAUAAUU